rnacentral:rRNA from 1 species
UACGUAGGGUGCGAGCGUUGUCCGGAAUUAUUGGGCGUAAAGAGCUUGUAGGUGGUUUGUCGCGUCUGCUGUGAAAAUCCGGGGCUCAACCCCGGACUUGCAGUGGGUACGGGCAGACUAGAGUGUGGUAGGGGAGACUGGAAUUCCUGGUGUAGCGGUGGAAUGCGCAGAUAUCAGGAGGAACACCGGUGGCGAAGGCGGUUCUCUGGGCCUGUACUGACGCUGAGGAGCGAAAGCGUGGGGAGCGAACAGG